GUGGCGGACGGGUGAGUAACACGUAGGUAACCUGCCCUGGAGCGGGGGAUAACAUUUGGAAACAGAUGCUAAUACCGCAUAACAACAAAAGCCACAUGGCUUUUGUUUGAAAGAUGGCUUUGGCUAUCACUCUGGGAUGGACCUGCGGUGCAUUAGCUAGUUGGUAAGGUAACGGCUUACCAAGGCGAUGAUGCAUAGCCGAGUUGAGAGACUGAUCGGCCACAAUGGAACUGAGACACGGUCCAUACUCUUNCNGGAGGCAGCAGUGAGGAAUAUUGGUCAAUGGGCGAGAGCCUGAACCAGCCAAGUCGCGUGAAGGAUGACGGCCCUACGGGUUGUAAACUUCUUUUGUCAGGGAGCAAUUGANUCCACGUGUGGGCUUAGCGAGAGUACCUGAAGAAAAAGCAUCGGCUAACUCCGUGCCAGCAGCCGCGGUAAUACGGAGGAUGCGAGCGUUAUCCGGAUUUAUUGGGUUUAAAGGGUGCGUAGGCGGAAUAUCAAGUCAGCGGUAAAAAUUCGGGGCUCAACCCCGUCGUGCCGUUGAAACUGAUGUUCUUGAGUGGGCGAGAAGUAUGCGGAAUGCGUGGUGUAGCGGUGAAAUGCAUAGAUAUCACGCAAAACUCCGAUUGCGAAGGCAGCAUACCGGCGCCNACUGACGCUGAAGCACGAAGCGUGGGUAUCGAACAGGAUUAAAUACCCUGGUA
rnacentral:rRNA from 1 species